rnacentral:sRNA from 1 species
CAGAACACACAGGUGUUGAGGAAAAAACCAGACCUGAGUCCUUUAAAACUCACAAUUCUAGCCAAUGAAUUGAAAGAAUGUAGAAUCUACUGCAAUGAGUUUCAGUGUAUGAAGGAGUACUUGGAGGCCAUCUCUGUUCAGGAGCUCUGGGAAUUGGUUCUCAAAUGCUGGAUUGAAGACUACAGUUGGACUUUUCAACCCAAAAGGGCAAAUUCAGACACUGUGGCUUCAGGAGAAGGACUGGAUGGCUGGGUGGCCGACGCUCUGUGCUUACUGUGCCUGUCGCAUGGUGGCUUGGCUGAGGAUGAGCUACUCCAGCUUCUGGACAUGCUGGGCUACAGGAAUCAUUACAAAGUGACCACCUUGCACUGGGCUGCCUUCCGCAACGCCACCAAACAGUGGGUCCAGGAGAAGCCCAAUGGCCUUCUGUAUUUCUGGCACAGUCCCUGCGAAGUGCAGUGGAGCACAAGCUUCUUG